GGGCUUGAGGGACCGGGGGGAGGUGGCGGGAGAGCUCUGGGUGAUGGGACAGCGGGUGACGAGCUGGGUGCAGACAGCAGCGACAGCCUCGCUUGGGCCUCGUCCUGGAGACCAUCCGUGCCAGGCGACUCUUCCCCCGUCGUCCACUCCGGAGCGCCCGGCUCUCCUGGAGGUGUCUUUGGCGCUCCAAAGCGGCUGGUUUUCCCUAAAAACUGGGAAUUUUAACUUACAGUCGGGCCGUACAUGGAGCUUGUAGCGUCAACCGGCAGUUUGCAGGAUGCGUGAAGUCGGUGCGCACCGCGGGGUGAUGUUUGUCGCUCCGUGAGAAGGAAGUCGCCCCACCUAAGCGCGCGGCUAGUGGGGCUGAGUCGCUCUGUCGUUCCCCUCCGUCCUAGGAGCGUUUGGCAGCGGCUUCUGGCAGACCCCCUGUUCGCGUGUGGGGCGGCCGAGGUCGCUUUGCAAACGCCGUGUCUCUGUAGGGAUCGCUUCUCGAAGCGAGGCGUGGAAAAGCUUAAUGUGCCGCUCUGUUUCUGGGGAAACAGCUUUAGUGGAGAACGGUGUGUAAUUCAUAACACUUUGAAGGGAAAACUGCUAAAAAAUUUGAGACUUAAGUUUCUUGUGGUUGUUGUGGUAAACCCUAUAUUCCAGCUGGUCUGGUCACUGAAAAGAGAAUUUUUUUUUUUUAACUUAAAGCUGAAACUUUCUUUCGCUUUGCUGGUAGAAUUUGGGCUUGGCAACCUGUGUUUACAUGUGCUUUGUAUUUUCAAAGGAAAGAAACCUGCAACUUGCACCCGCAGAAAGCAUCCGUGGCAGAUGCAGCUCCAAAACGAGCAUUAGAGCUACUUGUCGUACAGGCCAAAAGCCCCAAAAUACAUCUUAGCUUUCCACUGGAAUCGGUGAGAUUUAGAUUAGCUGUGCGGAUCUUAGCUAAUGCUUUGGUUGGAUCACAGCAUAGUUCAUUUUUGAUUUCUCAGCUCAGAAACUGUAGGAUUUUGAUUGGCUGGAUAAGAGUAACCACACGGAGAAAGAGUAGAAAGUGAAGCUAAACUUUGGAAAGAAUCUGGCUUACUGAUCGUGCAUGAGUGCCACGAAACACUCCAGUUUUUGUUAGUAUUUAUUUGCUGUGCUGAACAGUUGGAGCUCAGCUGCGAUGUACAGGAUAUUCAGAGCUUAGCCAGCUGUCUUUCAGCUUCUUCUCCCUCUUUCUGCUCUUCUUCCUUAGUCCAGAAGCUUUAAUUCCGUCUGGAAUUGGAAUUAAGCAGAGUAAUUCCAGCACGGUUAUCUUAUUUUGUUGGGUGUUGUUGUCGUAGCACCCCCAGAAGCAGAAAAGAGAAUAAAGUACAAAUGAUCUUAUUUUAUGCUGCAUUUGCACUCUGUGUUCACGAAGCAAUUUCUAAGCCCGCGUUCUAGAAAGAGGUUGGUGAGAAAGCUGGGCGAGGAACCGUCCUAUACUUCUUACGCUGAAGUUAUUUAGAUUACAGUCUGCUGGGAGAAGAGGAAAGUUUGUAUGCUGGUUAAUUACUUACCAGGUAAUUGAAGCUAUUUAAGAUAUCAGGAAAUCAAGGUAGGCAAGAAACAAAAUAAAAUAAUAAAAAAACCAAGGUUGGUCGUUAGGUUGGGCUCUGCGUGUUUGUGUGUUGCAGGUGAUGUUGGAGUAGGAUCACAAAGCCUGAGAAGAUGAAAUGAGAAAGGCUUGAAGUGUGGUUUGAUGUUGUGACAAAGCUGAUUUGAGAGGUUCCUGUCGCCUUCAGUUCUUGGCUGCUCUUUCCUGCCCUUCAGCUUCGCUUCUCUAUCCCAUCAGUACGGAAUAACAUAUACAGAACGACGGCUUCUCACCUCGUAUUUGUGACACAGCUGCAAGUGCCGGGGUGCAGCACGUGCACUGUUGCAGCUCGUGGUGGUGGCAAAAAGCUGUGCUGGAGGUGAGCUUGCUGCGCUGUCUUUUGCAGGAAGGCGAAGGUUGUUUAGCUGGUGUCUUUGGCAGCUUUGCAGCAAUUCCUCAUUAAUGUGCUUAAGCCAAGGCUUUGCUGCCGGCCUUCUUCACGGUGUGUGUGCGUCUGUACAUGUUUAUCUGGUUUUAGCCGUCUUUCUGGUUUUCCAGCACCUCCUGUGUGUUUGUCAUCGUUUGUCCCUUGCCUGUAUUUGUGAAAUGGAUUUCAGCCUGCUGUAACUGGUUUAUGCGCCUUUGGUUUGUCAGGGACUCGUGCUUUAGGCUGUUUAUCCAAAUUCUUUUUCUCCCCUAUACAGUCUUGUCUGUUUUAACUUCUGUAGGAAGCGCUGCUUACUCCUGUCGCACCAGAAACCUACGUCUUUCUCUUUGGAAUCAGCUUAUGCACAUUUUGCUUAACUUUCAGAUAACCUUUCCUGAUGCAUUUUGCAUAGAAACCUGUCUUCCACGACUGGUUUUAUUGCCUUUCCCUUGCUUUGGUGUAUUCCUUAAAAUCGAAAGUAAAAACGUAGAUAUUUAUUUCCUCUAGGUUAUUUUAUUAGCAUUCUUUGUAGGGGAGAAUAGUCGAACGCUAAGUCUGUAACUAGAGCCUUCAAUUACCUUUAGUUACGAAAAUAGAAGCAUGCUGAGCAACUACCUUUCCGGUCUUUCCAGUUGACAUAAUAAUAAACCACACACACAAUAUCCAGUAAAAUCAGCUCACUAAUCCUCAAAACUUUAAAUAUGCCCCUGGGCAUGCAUAGUUGAGAAUUUUGAGCUAAUCUUAAAUAAGAUACAGACCUCGUAUAUCAUGGCUUCAUUUGAAGCAGAAACAUCCCAAUAGGGUACUUCUAAUAACCCGAGGGACAGCGAGUUUAAUAGACUAAUCACAGGACCGAGAAAGUCAUUCCUGAGUUAAUUCUGGCCGUCUCAGUGGUUUGCCAUUUCAUUUUGAGCUAGUCACAGUGGCUUUUAUAAUUUACUGCUUGAUUGUAGGUUUGACCUUCCCCCUCCACCCCCAGCCUUAAAUUAAUUUUUUUUUUUUGAAGUAGGCCAUGAAUCGCAAAGUAACUCUGAUGUUUUCAUUCUGCCUGAGGCAAUUUAAAGGAGAAGAAAGCAAUUAAAUGUUUUCAGGAUAUAUCCAGCCUUUUCCUGAGUGGCUUUUAAUGUUCUUGUGUAUGUAUCUUUUUAAAUUUAAUAGAAAAAGUUUUUUGCCCUUCCCCCCCCCCUCGACUUUAUUGGCUGUUUCCAAGCUGCUCGGAUAUUUCUGGCAAAAUAUUGAGCUUGUACUUUGAGAAUAUAAUUUGGAGCAGAUACUAAAACAGCUGCAAAGAAGAUGAAACAUGAAAAGCACUUUUCAGAGACUUAAAACAUUUUCUAAAUGUCCAAUAAGUGAAAGUAGAAGCUAGCCUAUGCUGUAUACAGUAUAUAUUGCGUGCAAAGUUAGGGAUUCUCUGAAGACCCUGAUAGCUAAUCUAACUUGACUACAUUAAUUUAUGCAAAUUGACAUCAUAUAUUAAAUUAUGCAAAUUGCUUCCCUAUCCAGAGCUGGAAUGCCACAUUAAAAAAGGAGUAGUAGUUACAGGCUAAAGCAUCUUUAAAUGCUUAGAUUUGCAUAUAAAAUACUGCACGUUGUUUGAUUAAGGUUUGGAUCGUGAUUGCUUUAUUCCCUCAUUUUUAAGACAUGGAGAAAAUGAAGGGAAAGCACACUAAAAGAAAAUACAGAAAAACCUAUCUCUGUGCACAUAGUUUGUGCUUAAUUAUAGUUUAAGUUUUGAUGGGAAGACUGAAUCCCUCAUAAGUGUCGUUGAUGUGCUGGCAAACAUAAUGUUGGUUUCAUCUUAAAUGGGAAUGGUGGAGGCACAAAGUGUCUGAAGUCUAUAAAUUUUAUUUCCUGCUAUUAAAAAUGCCUGAUUAGAUGGACCUGGUGCUGAACAGCAAGUUGAAAUGCCAGGUUUUCUUCUUGCCCAUGUGCGGUCCAGUCUGGACCAAGAAGUACCAGAAUAGUGAAGGACUUGAUUGCAUGUGCCCAGAAAGAAAUUUUGCCAAGUGAAAGCCAGUUUUCACUAGAAUACUCCAAAGACUCCUCUCCUUAGAGAACUGCUUUCCCAAAAUAUUUCAGUGUUGAUCCGUAGCUAUUUUGGUAGAAGAGCUGUUCAAAGAAAACCCAUUUUUAACCUGUUCCAAAAACAGCUGAAGCCGAGCUAUCUUGGCUUGAACUCCCGGAAGAAAAUCUUUAACCCAUUUCUGGGAAACCUUUGGAAUGUCAACCAGAGAGGGCAAAGUUGUCAAAACUUAUAAAUGAUGAAAUGACCUUAGGGUGGCAAAGCUUAGGCUCCCUUUAGAGUAGGUAUUACUAAUGCUCCAACAAGAAUAAUAUUGCAUAUAAAAGAUUGCUUGGAUGUUUGGAAAAUGAUGUGAGGAUUUUUUAAGUGUUCUAAAGAAAUGCUUCUCACUGGGUACCGUAGACUUCAUGUUUUCCAGGAUUAUGCAAGCUGGUUUUGGAGAAAAAAAAAAUCAUCUUGUAUUUUAUCAUCUUUGUCUGUCAUCAUCGACCGGUAUUUGAGUUUCAGAAGACUGGAGUAGGAAUGCUCCUCGCAGAAGAGUUUCUGUGUGUAUGUGUUUGCUCAUUUGUUGGGUUUUUUUCUUUUUUCCUGGAAUCUGUAGUACCCAUUAGUGUCGGACACAGUGUGCUACUAUACUGUACAAACAUGGGUUUGCAUGGUUGGCCCCGAGCUGCUGUGACCUCAGGGAAGGCAGCUGUGGCCUUAUUCCCUGUCCACAACAUAACUUGUUUUGUCAGGACCGGAGAAUCGGUCAGUGAUGAGUGGGGGCCUGAGAAAAGCUUUUGUAUUUGAUGGUUUCUGUUUUUCUUUUUUUUGCAAAGAGGGCAGAUUGGCUUCAUUUACUUUAAGCUGAAGUACAUGAGACUUUAGCAUGGGCAGCAAAAUAUUUAGAGAUAUUAACAUUUUUCUAUAGCAGGUAUUAAGUUUACAGACUGAGGGCUGUCCUGCCUUGAAGAAUUUUUUUUGCACGUGUUGCAAAAAUGUAUUUUUGCAAAAGUUUGCACGCGUAUGCUGCAAGUUUUUGUAUUUUAAAUAUGAAGUCUUGCCAAAAUAUCUCUUAACUACUGCUUAAAAACCUGCUUCUGUUACUGUUGUUUCAGAUGGACUCUUGAUUGUUCGGUAGCCGGUUUCCUUUUCCUGAAGCUUUUGUGUCCUUUGGGUAAUCGAUCUUUCGAUCUAGACCUAACUUUCCUGUUCCUCUAGGUCAGAAAUCCCUUGACUGUGUUUUAUUUAGUGGCUUUUGGUUUGAGGUAGUUCCAAAUGUGUUGGGGUAAAUCUGCAAAGGCAAAUGUUUCUCUGCAAAGGGGGCAAAAUUUUGGAUGUUACGUUAAGCAGGAGAGAUGCAAGUGGGCACUGUGGGUUGCUACUCGAGGGCUACGUGUAGAGGUUCUGCUUUUGCUUCUGUGUACGAACACAAGGUGCAACUUCUACGGGAGAACAUGGAUGCGGUCCUGGAGAAGGAGGGGAUUUUUGGGAAUAGCUUGAAGUGAAACAAAGACUGAACGUGGAAGGUCCUGCAGUUAAUCUUCCUGCACUCUUCACACAUCUCCUCUCCUUUAAAUUACAUAUCUUUUAUUUCUUGUUCUGGCAAAAACUGUCUCUAAAACUGUUUUGUUGUAUAGCUGAUGGUUUGGUGUUAAAAUUGUACGUACUUUUGGGAAUGGAAGAGCAAAACAGUUCUGCCGUGUUCUUGCUACAGAAAGAUCACUUCCGUAUGAGAUGCUGGGGCCUUUUAUCAUAUGGCUUUUUGCUCUCAAGUCCCCAAACGUGAGGGAUUUCACAUUAACUAAAAAUACUCGUAUAUUCUUAGUUUCUCUGUAAACUGGUACAGCUAAUUUGCUCCACUCAACACUUAUAUUGGUAAAUAAGAGUAAAAUUUCUUUUCCCAAAUCCGAUUUGAGAUGAAUUAAACCAGAAUCAAACACUCUGUUACAGCAUUCAUGGACGUUUUCCCUCUGGAGUUAUUAAAAAUGUUUUUUUUGCCUGCUGACUGCUGUGUGUAGAUAAGGAUUUACUUUAAAGGAAGGUUUUUAGCAAAGACACACAUCUUCCUCUAUUUGGUUAGCAAGAAAACUGUAUUUAGCAAUAGGCUCUCCUGAAAUGAGAUGACCUGUAAUGAUUCAUAAACUGAUGAGUUUCGUUUGCCUUGCCUUACUGUUAUGCAGCUUCGCCCUGUUUGGCGUGCCACUUCUAUUCAUGUGCAUUUGGCAUGAUUUGGACAGAUGGUUUUAUUUUCUUUUGCGGUUGUUACCUAGUUCUGAACAGCGCUGGUGUGGUUUGGGUGCCCAGAGGAAACCGGGGGGAGUUGCAUGUAAGAGAAAGCAGAGGAAAGAAGGGAAGAUCUUUCUGAAUCCUUGCUGAAGCUGGAGAUUGCUCCCAUGUGUAACGUGCUAUGAAAGUGGACCCUUGCGUAAGCAAAAAUGGGAUUAUUCAUUGACUUGGAUUUUGGAAAAGACAGUGCAAGAGGUGACAGAUUGGGCUGUCUUGCAUUUAAUCUCUGCUGCCGGCAUCUCCUGCAGUUUGUUUGCAAACUUUGGCAAAUGUAUAGUACUGGUAAAUAAAUAGUAGAUAUCUGGAAACCUUUUUACACUUUCAAAUAAAUCGGGAGCCCUGAAAAUGCUCUGAUGCCUGGAAUGUCCUGCUUUAGGAAGCAUUCAGUCUUCCCUUGCUAUUGUGGUAUGUCUUUGUAGUCGGUGUUUUCUCAAGCAGUGAUUGUACCUGAAUUAAUAAGCUCUCCCAAAGCAGCAGUGCUGGUGGCAAGGUGUAAAUUUAUCCAAGGUGCUCCAGGGUUCAGGAUGUUUAACACUGGCAUCAAACUAAUGAGCUCCUGGUGGACUUGAGCUAAUUUGGUUAGCUCAGUCAACACUAUAGACUUAGAAACACGGUGUGGAGGUGGCUGAGUGGACUUCUCAAGGAGGUGGCUCCAGCCAGGUGGAGCGUGGUGUGUUAAGCCGUGUGCCGUGGUAGCACAGCCGAACUUCUUCCAGACCUGAGCAGACAGAAAAUAGAUAAACUGCUGUUGAUGCGGAGCUUCUACCCAGCUGGACCUGCAAUUUUCUUUGUUUUGCACAGACUUGGCUUAAGAAACUUGCACCCAGGACAUGCCCGGGCCUAACAAGUUACUUAAUGCUGGCCACAAGUGACUUUGGGCUGAGAAGAUCUUAGUUGUAAAUCAGAUCUCUGCCAUGGAGAUGCCUUUUAAUUUGCGCUGUGGAAAUCAAUGGCAGUAGGUAAUAUCGUUGGCAAAAGCAGACAAGUAGGUUUUUGAGCUUGGGAUGGCAUUUUUGAUUGCAACUUGGAGACUGAAUUAGGGAGACCGUGUUGGGUGAUGCAGAAUGAAAUUAAGGUGGAAGUGAGAGAGGCCGUUCCAGACCUGUUUGACGCUAACAAAAGCCCCGUUUGCUUCACUAAGAUUAAAUUUUGUUUUAUUACUGUUCUUGGAUUCCGUACAGGUGUGAUUAGUGUGAGUCUGGGUCUCUGAGAGAAAAAUGCCUAACUGGAGUUAAUUAAAUUAAAAGUCAUGAUCACGUGCUUACCCGAUCUCUGGAUAUUAGUGCUGCAUCUCUUGCUUUUUAUGUGCAUUAUUCUUUUCUUUGGAAACAGCUUCAAGUUGAAGCCCACUUGUGGAAAACUCAUUCCUUGCUUGCCCCACGCGCUCAUGCGUGCUUUGGCUCCUUACGCUGUUCAAAUUGGACUGUCCAUGAGGUCAACAAAUGGAUUUACUAUAAUGUUGAGAUUUAAAAUGUUUUAAUAACGUGUUGAUUUGUCCAAGACUGGAAAGCAAGUGUGCUUGUGAGCGUUUUCUCCAAGGGAUGAUGUUGAUGAUUUUUUCUUCUUCUUGCUUUUUAGAAGUGCCCUGGAAAAGUGUCUUGAAGUCAGGCAGCGAGAACAGAUGAGAUGCCAGAGUGGCACAACCCCUUCUCCCUUAGGGUGAGAGAGCCAAAGCUGAGCCUCUGGCAUUACUGGCAAAGUCUGGAGAGUACAGGUUUUUUCUUCUUCUUUACUGGGAGGUCCGUGACAUUGUUAUCUUGAGGUCUUGGAAAUGUCAGAACAGCAGAUUCCUUUGGAGACAAGAAUAUGACAGACCUUGUUCCUAGAGGGCAUCUGAGCAGACAUCCAGUGGUCAGAGCCCAGCACUCAAUUUUCAGUACAAAUAUGGAAUAUUGUCUCGGUGAUUUGGAGCUUAAGGGCUUCGAGUACGCUCUCACAAGCUCAGGAUGAGCAAACCAGAUUGCUUAUCGCCAUUGAAAGGGCAAGUCCCGUUCCCACUUCUCCAUAUCCUACCUGUUUCUGAUAGCUCUGUGAGCUCAUUUAACUUGCUGGAGUGGUUUUCUGCCAUUUUAGCACAAAAA